ensembl:lncRNA
UGAAUUUUUGAAUUACUUAAAUAUUAUUCUUGCUGCUUUUCAUACCCUCCUCAUACUGGGAAGACCAGUGAACAGUUUGAAUGACAGAGUCAGUAUCCAUAAAAAUGUCACCAGGCUAGAAUGAGAGGCUGACUCUAAUACAAUAGAAUUGAAUAAAGAUAAAUGAAAAUGUCUACCUGGGGAUUCCAAAAUCUACUUUGUAAGUACAGCAUAACAAUAUCAUAGCUAGGAAACUGCUUAUAAAAAAUGGUGGUUUUAAUAGAUUGGAAGUUCAGUGUGAGUCAAUAGUGUGAUCAUCCAGCCAUACUGUCCCAGAUGGGGGAGAUGAUAGUCUAGUUGUACUCUGCCCUGUUCAGACCAUGACUAAAGUGUUCUAUUCAGUUCUUCCUGGCAGAGCCUAGACAGGAGAAAGAGGAUUGAAUUUAGAUUCAGGCUGCCUGGGUUCAAAACUUAGUCUUCCUUCUUACCAAUUAUGUGAUCGGCCAAUGAAGUUGGGCUAGAAAGCCAUUCUAUGUUUAUAACCAUGAUCCUAAAAUAUAAAUUUCAUCAAGAGGAUGACUUCAUGGAAAAGAUGGUACUUGCUCAGGGACUUUAACAAGAAGAGAUAGAAAGGAGGACCCCCUAGAAAUCAUUCUCCAGAUUGCCCCUUGCCUACUUUGGAAUGGCUAGAACAAUGCCUGGUACAUAGUAAUCACUUAAUAAAUGCUUUGCUUGGGGCAGCUAGGUGGCACAUGGAUAAGAGUUCCAGUCCUGGACUUACGAAGACCUAGAUUCGAGCUUUACUUUAGACAGUUCCUAGCUCUGUGACCCUGAGCAAGUCACUUAAUCCCAUUUGCUUAACCCUUGUCACUGAGACAGAAAGUAAGGGUUUUUAAAUAUGCUUUGUUUAUCUAAAAGGAUAACGAUAUAAAGAAAACAGCUUGAAAAGAUUAAGAACUCUGAUUAAAGGAAUGAUCAACUAAGUUUUCAUAAGCCCUUUGAUGAAAUAUGUUACUGUCACGUGACAGAGAGAGCAGUGAAGGACUCAAGGUGGAGAGGCACUCUUCUUUGGACAUGGCCAGUAUGUGGAUUGGUUCUGCUUUAUUAUGCCUCGUUGUCUCAAGUUCCAGAAGAGCAAAUGAAUGAGGAUAUCAAGGUCCAGAGAAGUUCCAUGACUUGCUGAGAAUCACACAGGUACUAUUUGGUGGAUCCAGGAUUUGAACUCUGUCCUUCCCUAAAUCCAAAUGUCCAUUUUCCUCUUUUAAAGCCUAUGCAAUCAGUUUAAAACAAACAC